CUGGGCUGCUCCUGACACUGAAGGCGAAUGCUAUGGGUGCGAACGGGAUUAGAAACCCCGGUAGUCCUAGCCGUUAACGAUGGAUGCUGGGUGUGGGGGGUAUAGAUUCCCUCCGUGCCGAAGCUAACGCGUUAAGCAUCCCGCCUGGGGACUACGGCCGCAAGGCUAAAACUCAAACGAAUUGACGGGUCCCCGCACAAGCAGCGGAGCGUGUGGUUUAAUUCGAUGCUACACGAAGAACCUUACCUGGGUUUGACAUGCAAGUAGUAGUGAAGCGAAAGCGGAACGACCCUUCGGGGAGCUUGCACAGGUGCUGCAUGGCUGUCGUCAGCUCGUGCCGUGAGGUGUCGGGUUAAGUCCCGUAACGAGCGCAACCCUUGCCCUUAGUUAUACGUGUCUAAGGGGACUGCCCGGGACAACUGGGAGGAAGGUGGGGAUGAAGUCUAGUCAGCAUGGCCUUUAUAUCCAGGGCGACACACACGCUACAAUGGCCGGUACAAUGGGUUGCCAAGCCGUGAGNCGGAGCCAAUCCCGCAAAGCCGGUCUAAGUUCGGAUUGUGAGCUGCAACUCGCCCACAUGAAGCUGGAGUUGCUAGUAACCGCGCGUCAGCCAUAGUGCGGUGAAUACGUUCCCGGGGAUUGUACACACCGCCCGUCACGUCAUGGAAGCUGCAACACCUAAGCCGUAUGCUACCCGUAAGGAAGCCGCCGUCUAAGNUGGG
rnacentral:rRNA from 1 species